AAUGAACGCUGGCGGCAUGCCUAACACAUGCAAGUCGAGCGAGCCGCGGACGUGUGAGUAACGUAUGUGGACUUGCCCGAUAGAUGGGGUUAACCACUGGAAACGGUGCCUAUAACCGCUUAGUAUCGGAUGAACCCAGAUGGGAUUAGCUAUUUGGUGGGGUAACGGCUGACCUAGGCGACGAUCUCUAGCUGGUCUGAGAGGUUGAUCGGCGACACUGGAACUGAGACACGGCCCAGACUCCAACGGGAGGCAGCAGGGGGGAAUGUUGCACAAUGGGCGAAAGCCUGAUGCAGCAAGGCCGCGUGUAUGAAGAAGGCCUUAGGGUUGUAAAGUACUUUCAGCGUGGAGGCGUUACCCGCAGAAGAAGCGCCGGCUAACUACGUGCCAGCAGCCGCGGUAAUUC
rnacentral:rRNA from 1 species